CUUGCUUAAUAUAAGAGGUCCAGCCUGCCCAGUGAAAAUUUAACGGCCGCGGUACCCUGACCGCGCGAAGGUAGCAUAAUCACUCGUUCUUUAAAUAGGGACUUGUAUCAAUGGCAUCACGAGGGUCGCACUGUCUCCUCCUUCUAAUCAGUGAACCUGAUCUCUCCGUGAAGAAGCGGGGAUGAAAAUAUAAGACGAGAAGACCCCAUGGAGCUUUAAACCUAAAGCAAUCUAAUCAAAUAAACCCCUACAUAAUUUAAAUAUGCAUAAUGGUUUUAGGUUGGGGUGACCGCGGAGUAAAAACAAACCUCCACAGCGAAAAGAAAUUAAUCUUUAUUCAAGAGCUACUACUCUAAAAAUUAGCACACUAACAAACAAUGACCCGAUAAUCGAUCAAUGGACCA
rnacentral:rRNA from 1 species